rnacentral:rRNA from 1 species
AUUGAACGCUAGCGGGAGGCUUUACACAUGCAAGUCGAACGAGUGGCGGACGGGUGAGUAAUAUAUCGGAACCUGCCCGAUAGCGGGGGAUAACUACUCGAAACAGUGGCUAAUACCGCAUACUAUUGGAGCGGCCGAUAUGGGAUUAGCUAGUUGGUGGGGUAAUGGCUCACCAAGGCAACGAUCCGUAGCUGGUUUGAGAGGAUGACCAGCCACACUGGGACUGAGACACGGCCCAGACUCCUACGGGAGGCAGCAGUGGGGAAUAUUGGACAAUGGGCGAAAGCCUGAUGCAGCCAUGCCGCGUGUAUGAAGAAGGCCUUCGGGUUGUAAAGUACUUUUAGCGAAGAAGCGGUAUCUGCAGAAGAAGCACCGGCUAACUCCGUGCCAGCAGCCGCGGUAAUAC